UUGAUUUUUAAUAAAAAUAAUUUUAUUUAUUUUAAUUUUUAGUAUAUUUUAUAGAAAAAAUUUUAUUAAUUAUAGUUUAAUUGUAUUGUAAAAGAUAAUUGAGAUAGAAAUUAAUUAUUUAUAAGUAGAAUUUAUUUUUUGUACCUUGUGUAUCAGGGUUUAUUAAAUAAAUAUUAAUUAUUUUAAUUUUCUCGAUUUUAAGAGAGCUAAUAAUUUAUUUUUUUUAUUGUAAAAAAAAUAUUUAUAAUAAUUUAUUGGUAAUGAAAUGUUAUUCGUUCUUAAAUAUAUCUAGUUUAUUUAGAAAUGAAUUUAAUUCAAAUAUUUUAAUUUUAAUAGAUUAAUUUGUUAAUUUAUUAAAUUUUUAUAUUAAUAAUUAAAGGGAUUAGCUUUUAAUUAAAUUUUUAUAAAUUAUAGAAAAUAUUUAAAAAAUGUAAGUUUAGAAAUAUCUAUCAAUAAUAAUUUGUUAUAAUUAAUUUAAUUUUUAAUAUUAUUUUAUAUAAUUUUAAAUUUUUUAUAAAUAAAUAAUUUUUAAUUUUUGAAAAUUAGAUAUAAUGAUAGAAUUAGUAUAUAUAAUAUAUUUUAAUAAUAAGAUUUAAAAGAUUAUUUAAAGGAAUUCGGCAAAAAUUUUACUCGCCUGUUUAACAAAAACAUGUCUUUUUGAAUUGUAUAUAAAGUCUAGCCUGCCCACUGAAAUUUUUAAAUGGCCGCAGUAAUUUGACUGUGCAAAGGUAGCAUAAUCAUUAGUUUUUUAAUUAAAAGCUUGUAUGAAAGGUUGGACGAAGUAAAAUCUGUCUCUAUUUAAUUUAUAUUAGAAUUUAAUUUUUAAGUUAAAAAGCUUAAAUUUUUAUAAAAGACGAGAAGACCCUAUAGAACUUUAUAAUUCAUUUAAUAUAAUAAAUUAGGAUUUAUUUAAGUUUUAUUAAUAUAAUUAUUUUAUUGGGGUAAUAUAAAGAUUAAAAUAAUUCUUUUUUAUUAUUUACAUUUAUUUAUGGUAUAUAAAAGAUCCAUUUUUAGUGAUUAUAAGAUUAAGUUACCUUAGGGAUAACAGCGUAAUUUUUUUAGAGAGUUCAUAUCGAUAAAAAAGUUUGCGACCUCGAUGUUGGAUUAAAGAUUAGUUUAGGUGUAGAUGUUUAAAUUUUUGGUCUGUUCGACCAUUAAAUCUUUACAUGAUCUGAGUUCAGACCGGUGUAAGCCAGGUCGGUUUCUAUCUUUAUUAAAUUUAAAUAUUUUAGUACGAAAGGACCAAAUAUUUAAUAUAUAUAUAUUUUUAUUUUUGAAUAUU
rnacentral:rRNA from 1 species